AAGGCGGGGGGGGUCAGUCAUCAGGCCGUUAGGGCCAGGGGACACACGUGGUACAAUGGUCGGUACAAAGGGUUGCUACACAGCGAUGUGAUGCUAAUCUCAAAAAGCCGAUCGUAGUCCGGAUUGGAGUCUGCAACUCGACUCCAUGAAGUCGGAAUCGCUAGUAAUCGCGGAUCAGAAUGCCGCGGUGAAUACGUUCCCGGGCCUUGUACACACCGCCCGUCGGCACCAUGGGAGUUUGUUGCACCAGAAGUAGGUAGUCUAACC
rnacentral:rRNA from 1 species